rnacentral:rRNA from 1 species
CACGUAGGGCGCAAGCGUUGUCCGGAAUUUAUUGGGCGUAAAGAGCUCGUAGGUGGUUUGUUACGUCUGCUGUGAAAUCCUAGGGCUUAACCCUGGGCUUGCAGUGGAUACGGGCAGACUAGAGGUAGGUAGGGGAGAAUGGAAUUCCUGGUGUAGCGGUGAAAUGCGCAGAUAUCAGGAGGAACACCGGUGGCGAAGGCGGUUCUCUGGGCCUGUACUGACGCUGAGGAGCGAAAGUGUGGGGAGCGAACAGG